AGCUCUACCAGAGCAGCUGGAAGUCCUCACAGAUUCUUUUGUGAAGCUUCCCUUCCCAGGGCAGGCAGGAGCCAGCCCUGCUUUCCCUGUAUGUUUGCUAUGAUUCCUCUGGUUUUGACUUGACCUCCUGUGCCUGUUAGUUCCCAGGCAGUUCUGAAUUGGUCUUUUGAGCUUUUAGCUAUCGCCAAAGCCUCUGACUGUUCUUCUCUCAAGGCACUUCACUGGGCCUGACUGCAGAAGCACUGCCUGGAGAUGUAGGAGACAUCUCACAAAAAUGGAGCUGAAGGCCAUGGUCUCAGAUGAAAGAGGACAGAGCUCAAAAUAGGGUGAGUUACCCAUGGCACCAUGGAGCUGCCAAACCAGCCUUGGAUGACCUAACUCUGGAAUCCUUUUUGACAUGAAAAGAAUGGAACUCCUGUUUUACUUAAGGUUUGCUUGGAAACCCAAAUGUCAAGAGAUUUUGUGGUGGCAUAGAAAAAUAAAUUCAGUCUUUUCUCUUUCCAUCGUCUCAUAAGAUGUCAAACUGACUGGUAAUCAAGACCCCAAGGAGAAAACAUAUGCUCCAGACACCAGCUUCGUCUUGGCAGUGGUCUCAGUUGGACUUGAGGUUUUGUGUCAGCCCACGCUGUUUCUGGGGUCACAAGAGACAAAUAUUUACCAUUUCUCAUCCUGCACAUUUUUUGGACGCUGUUACAGAAAAUUGACAACAUUCUUCAUCCAUUUGAUCUAAGACUUGCCGAAGUUCAGACUUGAACUCUUCUGUCUAAAGGAGUUGAGGGUGGAAUUAUUGAAUCCGUGGUCAGGACCAGAUCCCCCCUUUUUUCCCCACACCUUAAGUCUGUUCACCUUCUAAUUGUUACAGACUAAGAUGUCAAUUCAGUCCCUUCCUUUUUCUUUUUCAGGGGCUAUUGACUAUGGUAAAAUCCACUGUCCUUCACAACAAACAACACUUUCUUUCUCUGGUUCAGAGUAUUUCACAUUCCUUCCAUAUUACUCAGCCUUUUACAGUCAUUUUGAGGCACAGACCUGUAUGUGCCUUCUCCCCUCCCCAUUUUCCUUCUCAUUUUACACAGGAAAUCACCCCUCAGAAACCCUUGGGUGAAGAAAAACAAUGUAAUGAAUAACACGUAGGACAUCUUAUGAAAGUGCCAACAACUUUUUGCAAAAGUCUCAGCGUUCUCAUCCUUUUACUGUAGUUUCAUUUAUGUAUUUUAGCAUUUUAUUAGUAAUUAAAGUUGAUGAUUGGUCAAAUCUUCUCUCUAAUGUCUC